UGGGGAAUUUUGGACAAUGGGCGCAAGCCUGAUCCAGCCAUGCCGCGUGGGUGAAGAAGGCCUUCGGGUUGUAAAGCCCUUUCGGCUGGGACGAAAAGGUUCGGGUUAAUAACCCGGAUCCAUGACGGUACCAGCAGAAGAAGCACCGGCUAACUACGUGCCAGCAGCCGCGGUAAUACGUAGGGUGCAGGCGUUAAUCGGAAUUACUGGGCGUAAAGCGUGCGCAGGCGGUCUGCUAAGAGAGGUGUGAAAUCCCCGGGCUUAACCUGGGAACUGCGCUUCUAACUGGCAGGCUUGAGUGUGGCAGAGGGGGGUGGAAUUCCACGUGUAGCAGUGAAAUGCGUAGAGAUGUGGAGGAACACCGAUGGCGAAGGCAGCCCCCUGGGCUAACACUGACGCUCAUGCACGAAAGCGUGGGGAGCAAACAGGAUUAGAUACCCGCGUAGUCC
rnacentral:rRNA from 1 species